rnacentral:rRNA from 1 species
AAACUGCGGGGAUGAGCUGUGGGUAGGGGUGAAAGGCCAAUCAAACUCCGUGAUAGCUGGUUCUCCCCGAAAUGCAUUUAGGUGCAGCGUCGUAUUAUAGCUUGGUGGAGGUAGAGCGACUGGUUGGUUGAGCGGGACUACAAUCUUAGCAAUGUCAGCCAAACUCCGAAUGCCACUAAUUGUGUUGUACGGCAGUGAGACUGUGGGGGAUAAGCUUCAUAGUCGAGAGGGAAACAGCCCAGAUCGCCGGUUAAGG